GAUCGAUAAUGGAGGCACGCAUAACGAAAUAAAUGCCACAUCUAUUUAAUUCAAUAUUCAUGAAGUAGUCUACCUCGUCUCUUGAACCUCGUUGAAACAUUUUUUUGGGACGUCGAAUUCCCGACUGCAGACCAUGGAGAUAAGACCAUCCACUUCCAGGAUCCUUGUUAACUGCUCCUUGGUUACCGUUUAGCAAUUUAAGCCAACAUAAUAUAAAUUGUGCCCUGAGACCACCAUGUCAAAUACCAGCGCUGUUCAUCAGAACCAGAGAGCCAGGUACCUUCAACCAAGGGUGGUACAGAGCAGGUACAGGGACACUUGGAAAUCCCCGCCAACAAUCAUAAAGCAAAGAUCUUUUGUUUAGAAAGGCCAGAUCAACCUUUGACUCACAAGAAAGAAACCGAAGCCUUGCGUUGUUGCCUGACUGACCACGACACAGGGCAAGACUGCAUCUUCAGAAGAGACAAGAAUAAACAUGACUGUCUUCCGGGACACAGCACCAUGCACUCUGGUAAAUAUUGAACGACGUUUAGCAGUACUUACUGCCUCCGUGAUGAGGGUGAUGAAUAUGUACCACAACCCUGCCCUAAAUAUGGAGGCGUCAGCAGCACACAAUCAGUCUAUGAGACGGCGCAAACAACGCAUAAGACGGUCAUCUUCAUACUUCCUGCCGUGACAAAUGUAAUUUUUUUUAAAAGAAAUUUGUAAACUGGCAGAGUAACGAAUUAAUACACGUCCUUCCUUGGUCGCAAGGGCAACUGGAACUUACCCAGUGGGUACCAAGGUGGAAAUGUGGCCGGGUCGUGAAGCUUGACUACUAACCUCUAGUGCCUUGGCUUAAAAAUGCGAUAUCUCUCUGAACUUUUCAAAGAAAUAAGAAUAUCAUCCAAUAAUUACGUUUAAAACGUUUCGAGAAGUGUAAUGUAAGAUUUCAGGUGAAAACUGCGGCUAGUAUAAAUAUAAUUGCCUUUUGUGAUAUUGCACGUUGGGUGAGGAUCACCCUGAUGAUGGAGGCAGUUGACACCCCUGAAACUUCGGUCGAUAUCACUGCGAGACUUUACGGGACAGUAACCCUCGAUACAAGUUUGACUAUCGGAGAUUACUCUGCAAUGUAAAUUAAUCUUAUUUUACAAUGGUGAUUUGUACUAAUACAAAAUAAAUAUUGCUUCAAUGAACAUUUACUUUUGCUUCGUGCUUUAUUUUAAGCUCCAGCAUAACUGGAAAGCUAUGCGCGUAAAAAAUAGUGUUUUCAGAACUAUUUCUUCAUGACGUCAGACUUUGGCGCAGUGAUACUUUCAAUAAUCGUUUUGUGGCAGGCGUAAUAGGUUGGUUGGCCAGCUACCCAGUUAUCGUUUGGUGCACGGGAUACAGAGAGCGAGUCUAAUGUUUCUGUAGGCCACGAACGCUUGCGGUCUCGCUUGCCUCUUCAUCGUCAGAGGUCGUUCAGGGUAGACGUAUUUUCUUCGUGAAGUGUAAUAAUGGCGGAUAAUCAGGAAUAUGAAAUGG